AGAGUUUGAUCAUGGCUCAGAUUGAACGCUGGCGGCAGGCCUAACACAUGCAAGUCGAGCGGUAGCACAGAGAGCUUGCUCUCGGGUGACGAGCGGCGGACGGGUGAGUAAUGUCUGGGAAACUGCCUGAUGGAGGGGGAUAACUACUGGAAACGGUAGCUAAUACCGCAUAAUGUCGCAAGACCAAAGUGGGGGACCUUCGGGCCUCAUGCCAUCAGAUGUGCCCAGAUGGGAUUAGCUAGUAGGUGGGGUAACGGCUCACCUAGGCGACGAUCCCUAGCUGGUCUGAGAGGAUGACCAGCCACACUGGAACUGAGACACGGUCCAGACUCCUACGGGAGGCAGCAGUGGGGAAUAUUGCACAAUGGGCGCAAGCCUGAUGCAGCCAUGCCGCGUGUGUGAAGAAGGCCUUCGGGUUGUAAAGCACUUUCAGCGGGGAGGAAGGCGGUGAGGUUAAUAACCUCAUCGAUUGACGUUACCCGCAGAAGAAGCACCGGCUAACUCCGUGCCAGCAGCCGCGGUAAUACGGAGGGUGCAAGCGUUAAUCGGAAUUACUGGGCGUAAAGCGCACGCAGGCGGUCUGUCAAGUCGGAUGUGAAAUCCCCGGGCUCAACCUGGGAACUGCAUUCGAAACUGGCAGGCUAGAGUCUUGUAGAGGGGGGUAGAAUUCCAGGUGUAGCGGUGAAAUGCGUAGAGAUCUGGAGGAAUACCGGUGGCGAAGGCGGCCCCCUGGACAAAGACUGACGCUCAGGUGCGAAAGCGUGGGGAGCAAACAGGAUUAGAUACCCUGGUAGUCCACGCCGUAAACGAUGUCGAUUUGGAGGUUGUGCCCUUGAGGCGUGGCUUCCGGAGCUAACGCGUUAAAUCGACCGCCUGGGGAGUACGGCCGCAAGGUUAAAACUCAAAUGAAUUGACGGGGGCCCGCACAAGCGGUGGAGCAUGUGGUUUAAUUCGAUGCAACGCGAAGAACCUUACCUGGUCUUGACAUCCACAGAACUUUCCAGAGAUGGUUUGGUGCCUUCGGGAACUGUGAGACAGGUGCUGCAUGGCUGUCGUCAGCUCGUGUUGUGAAAUGUUGGGUUAAGUCCCGCAACGAGCGCAACCCUUAUCCUUUGUUGCCAGCGGUCCGGCCGGGAACUCAAAGGAGACUGCCAGUGAUAAACUGGAGGAAGGUGGGGAUGACGUCAAGUCAUCAUGGCCCUUACGACCAGGGCUACACACGUGCUACAAUGGCAUAUACAAAGAGAAGCGACCUCGCGAGAGCAAGCGGACCUCAUAAAGUAUGUCGUAGUCCGGAUUGGAGUCUGCAACUCGACUCCAUGAAGUCGGAAUCGCUAGUAAUCGUAGAUCAGAAUGCUACGGUGAAUACGUUCCCGGGCCUUGUACACACCGCCCGUCACACCAUGGGAGUGGGUUGCAAAAGAAGUAGGUAGCUUAACCUUCGGGAGGGCGCUUACCACUUUGUGAUUCAUGACUGGGGUGAAGUCGUAACAAGGUAACCGUAGGGGAACCUGCGGUUGGAUCACCU
rnacentral:rRNA from 1 species